AUGAUCAGCUUUCAGAACACCUUCUUAAUUGUAGUUCCAACAUUCUCCAGCAGGAAGCCUGUGUUUCUCGAGUAUGAGGUUUUUGUACGGCUGGUGAAUGAGUCUGUAUCACUGUGGUGGACUUUCGGUGGCGGAACGAAAGUGUCAGUUGGACGUGACACAGUUCCCACCCUCACAGUCCUGCCCCCCUCCAGUGUGAAGAUAGAGAAGGGAAAGGCCACACUGGUGUGUCUGGCCAACAAGGGCUUCCCCUCAGACUGGACUCUGCGCUGGAAAGUGGACGGUGCCAGCAGGAGCUCGGGCGUGGCCGGGAGCGUGGGGGUCCUGGGGAAGGACGGUCUGUACAGCUGGAGCAGCUCCCUGACUCUCAGUGAGGAAGACUGGAUGAAGGCAGGGUCACUGACCUGUGAGGCCACAAAGGGCUCCCUGUCUGCCCCCCCUCAGACACUGAGCAGAGCCCACUGUUCUUAGUAGGCCGGGUGGAGGCCCAGUUCACACAUUGUGAUCACACUGUUUUUACCCUGUUCUGCUCCUUACUGCUGUCACACUGAGCUGAGCCUGUGUGUGAAUCCUUCCUCCAGCCUGAGCUUUCAGUGCUAAUAUCUGACAUGUGCUCUGCUUGUGUUCUUCAGCAAUAUGCAAACAUGCAUUCUUAUUUGUGUUUCUGUGACUUUGGCAAUAGCUGUUAAAUCAACAUCAUUGACAUAAUAAAGAUUAUUUGAAUAGA